AUCUUUUUGGGUUAAUUAAAAGUGACUUCUGCUCAAUGUGUGAUAAAUGGCCGCAGUAUUUUGACUGUGCAAAGGUAGCAUAAUAAUUAGUCUUAUAAUUGAAGACUGGAAUGAAAGAAUGAACUGAAAAAGCUCUUUCUUGGUUUUUCUCUUUUAAUUUUACCUUUUAGUGAAAAGGCUAAAAUGAACCUUUUAGACAAGAAGACCCUAUAAAGCUUUACAUAAAAUAAUCUAAGAAAUUAAAAAUAUGUUUUACUGGGGCGGUGAGAAGAAAAACACUUUAAACUUUUGUAAAUGAUAUAAUUUUUAUACCCAAAAAUUUUGAAAAUUAAAUAAGCUACUUUAGGGAUAACAGCGUUAUAUAUUUUGAAAGUUCAAAUUGACAAAUAUGUUUGCGACCUCGAUGUUGGAUUAUUUUUCCUUUAUUAUGCAAGAGUAUUAAUAGGAGGUCUGUUCGACCUUUAAAAAAUUCCA
rnacentral:rRNA from 1 species